AUACUUACCUGGCAGGGGACAUACCAUGAUCACGAAGGUGGUUUUCCCAGGGUGAGGCUUAUCCAUUGCACUCCGGAUGUGCUGACCCCGGCGAUUUCCCCAAUUUAAAGAAAAAAAUAUAUCUGUAUAUAUGUUUUGGGACUUGGACCAUACCUGGU